UUGAUUCAUUUUUUGAUUGGUACAAUCCACUCAGACGGCUUGCUGUAAAACAGAAAAUACAGAAGAGUUUGGGUCCUCCGGCGGGCCGCCCGAACCGGGGCAUCAACACCCGCCGAAGCAACGAUACGGUAUAGGUUCACAUGGGGGUUUGGGAGUUGGAAAAAAACUCGAUAAUGAUCCCUCCGCUGGUUCACCAACGGAGA
rnacentral:misc_RNA from 1 species